GACUCGAGCUAGAUAUCAAGCGAGGGAAUAGGCAAAGUGCUGGUUAUCUUCCUUAAACCUCUUCUCCUCCUCAGCUAAAGCACUCAAUAUUAGCUCUUAAUUCUUAAAAAUAGUCUUUUAAUGAAAGAUAAAUCCAAUUAUUGCUUGGUCUGAGUAUUAGCCUGCCACAAGAGGUCUAAAUUGGUGUUGUGACAAACAAAACUACUCUUUAACAUUGACACAAUAAUGGCUGGAGGGAACGGUUUGAAGGGAAAUACAAGACUCAAUGAAGCCUCAUCAUCAUCAAGAGGGAAAAUUGUGGCUGAAAAUAAUACAAGACAACAGGAUUUAGACAAGACCAAGCAAACGGAGAAAGUUAGCUUUUACAAGCUCUUCUCCUUUGCUGAUUCCACUAAUAGAGUUUUGAUGAUCAUUGGAACUAUUGCAGCCAUCGGUAGCGGAUGAUCCCUGCCCAUUAUGACAAUAUAUUUUGGAGAAUUGACUGACUCCUUCGGACAAAAUCGAAGAAACAAAGAUCUGCUUCGGUUAGUCUCUAGGGUCUCACUGAAAUUUGUCUACUUGGCUUUGUGAUGUGGAGCAGCUGCAUUUUUUUUGAGAUUGCUUGUUGGAUGAUCUCCGGUGAAAGACAGGCUUCUCGAAUAAGGAGUCUCUAUCUAAAAACUAUUUUGCAGCAAGAUAUUGCUUUCUAUGAUAAGGAAAGAAAUACAAAAAGGUGGUUGGGAGGAUGUCUGGUGACACUCUUCUUAUAAAAGGCGCAAUAGAAGGUAGAAGUAUCCCUCAUCCUAUCUAGAAUGGUGUCCGUGGACAAGAUGUUUAUGCCAAGGCUGCAUCAUUUACAGAUGAGAAGCAAGCUGCAGCCAGCUAUAAUGAGUCCUUGAUUAAAGCUUGCCAUUCAGGUUCAAAUGAAGGGCUGACAAGUGUCACUUUCUGAUAUUAUGUACUGCAGCUACGCUUUGGCUAUCUGGGUCGUGAAAUGUGACACACAACUCAUAUGUAGUUGAAUUGUUUUGACACUGCAAGAAAUUUAGUUGUGCCGAUACUCAAAUUGAAAAGAUUACCACUGCUUGACCAUUGUAAGGAACGGUGACAAUUGCAGUGAUGCUACACCGUCUAAGACUCAGAGGAGUGACUCGAAAACAAAGGAAGUUAGUACUUUUUUUUAUUUUGAUUCUGCAAAUCUGCCAGAGAGCACGUGCUGGAUUCAGGUGGAUAGUUCUGAAGGAACCUUCUACCCAUUACUUGCAUCUAUUCUCUUCUUUGUGAUAUUUAAAAGCUAUAUCUAAUUAAGGUUUUAGCUUCUAUCCUUCAAAAGAAUUUAAGUUUUUAAUGUUACAUUGAUGAUGUGUUUGGCUUUGUAUGAAUACAUAGUAAUACGUACAAUAACCAUUAACAAUAUAAUUCUACCAAGCUUGACAAUC